CGGGUCCCACGGGCAAUGCGCCUCUUGUAAACUAACAUAUGCUUUCUUCAUCGCCGAGAUAGAAUCGAAAACUUCGUUCAUUAGCAUCUCCAUUUCCAUCACUCUCUCAAUAGCCACCAUUCCGCUCUUGUUCUUCUCCUGAUCCCAACCUUUAAAACUCCCUUUCUUCUCUUCCAUCUCCUCAUCCACAUCUUCCUCCUCUUCUUCCUUAAAGUCCUCCCGCUCGUCAGUCUCGUACUCAUACCUUUCUCUCACGUCCCCGGCGGAAUCAUGCGUGCUGGCCGCAAGGGGGUGGAGCAAACAGGAAGCCGCCACUCGUUGGAUUAGGUCGGAGAAAUUUGAUACCUUGUUAGCCAUUUCUCCUUUCUUCUUUG
rnacentral:misc_RNA from 1 species